GACGAACGCUGGCGGCGUGCUUAACACAUGCGAGUCGAACGGAAAGGCCCUGCUUUUGUGGGGUGCUCGAGUGGCGAACGGGUGAGUAACACGUGAGUAACCUGCCCUUGACUUUGGGAUAACUUCAGGAAACUGGGGCUAAUACCGGAUAGGAGCUCCUGCUGCAUGGUGGGGGUUGGAAGGUUUCGGCGGUUGGGGAUGGACUCGCGGCUUAUCAGCUUGUUGGUGGGGUAGUGGCUUACCAAGGCUUUGACGGGUAGCCGGCCUGAGAGGGUGACCGGCCACAUUGGGACUGAGAUACGGCCCAGACUCCUACGGGAGGCAGCAGUGGGGAAUAUUGCACAAUGGGCGGAAGCCUGAUGCAGCAACGCCGCGUGCGGGAUGACGGCCUUCGGGUUGUAAACCGCUUUCGCCUGUGACGAAGCGUGAGUGACGGUAAUGGGUAAAGAAGCACCGGCUAACUACGUG
rnacentral:rRNA from 1 species